rnacentral:antisense_RNA from 1 species
CCCAGGUUCAAGCGAUUUUCCUGCCUCAGUCUCCCAAGUAGCUGGGAUUACAGGCAUGUGCCACCAGGCCCAGCUAAUUGUUUUGUAUUUUUGGUAGAGACGGGGUUUCACCAUGUUGCCCAGGCUGGUCUGCAACUCCUGGCCUCAAGCCAUCCACCCGCCUCAGCCUCCCAAAGUGCUGGGAUUACAGGCGUGAGCCACUGUUCCUGGCCAUGUUUCUGUCUCUAAACCCAAGCUGUUAACACUGGACAAAUGGCCUCCCUGAUUCCUAGGAGAGGAAGGAGGGAAAAAAGCAGAGUGGGGAGGAAGCCAGAGAUCCCUGAAUGCAGCUUCAUUAAUCAAAGGUGACCGCAGAAAGGCAGGGGAAGGUCCCAGGGGGGCUCGGAUGGACAUGGUCAGGUGGUCAGGAACUUCCACAGCGUUCCCCUCCAUGACUUAGAAACAUCACCUCUGUGGGUGAUUCCAAGCUCUUUGCACCCUCCUCCUUGGUGCCAGCCCCCUCCUUCAUCCAGGCAGUCCUCCCUAACAUCUACCUGCAAUAUUUCCUGCUGCACGACCAGCAGACCCCAGUGGCAGCCCUAGCAAAUGGCCCCCAGCCCUGUUCCAUCCUGUCUGCAGAGCUCCUAGCAAGCAGCUCCUGGUUCCGGCGGUAAUUCUACUGACGAUUAAUUGGCUUUUGUUGGAGGAGAAUGAAUACCAUCUCAUCUUAAUCUUCUUCGUUAUUCUCCUUGUUCAGCAGAGUCAACACAAGAUUAGGUUUAAUUUACGGUGGGGGGAAAUAGCAAAGUCAUUACGCACCAGGAGCUCAGGAUUGGAUCUGUCUGGGUGUUCCGUGUUCACUGCAGGCCUGGCACCAUCAAGCAAGGCCCAGGGCUCUGCCGAGUGGGGAUAGACUUGGGGGGGUUCUAGACUCCCAGACCUACUUGGAGCUAGAUCCCAGGAUACCACCAGCCCUCCCUAGUUGGGAGGGGCCCAGCUCUGGAGGGGAUUCCAGCCAUCCAAAGCCCUUGCUAUGUGGCCUGGGGUGAGACCCAGGGGCCUCCAGGCCUUGGAGACCUAGCCUCCUAAAUGUUUCUCAUAGAGCCUCUGGGGCCAGAGCAGCGCCAAAUCCCAGCCCCUGAGGACCCAGGAUCAGCCCCAAGCAAUGGGAAGAGACCAGGAUUUGGAUUCAAAUUCGACUUUUCCUCCGCAGAGAAAUGGGCAGGACAGACACAGCUUGGGGACAGCCUUGACAAUCCUGACACCUAGUGGUACUUGGAGGAACUGGCCCUUCCCUCCCUCUGUGCACAACUGAAUAUACCAUGUUCACAACUGAAUACACCACGUACAAAAAAAUCCAGAUUUUUAAGGUAAAGAAAUCAGAGACCAGGCGCAGUGGCUCACGUCUGUAAUCCCAACACUCUGGGAGGCCGAGGUGGGCGGACCACAAGGUCAAGAGUUCGAGACCAGCCUGACCAACGGUGAGACCCCGUCUCCACUAAAAAUACAAAAAUUAGCUGGGCGUGGUGGCGCACGCCUGUAGUCCCAGCUACUCGGGAGGCUGAGGCAGGAGAAUCGUUUGAACCCGGAAGGUAGAGAUGCAGUGAGCGGAGAUCACGCCACUGCACUCCAGCCUGGCAACACAGCAAGAUUCCGUCUCAAAAACAGAAAAAGAAAUCAGAAAAGGGAAGAGGGACUUUUCCAUUACAAAAUUGUUAAACAUACGUUUCCACUGAGAAAUCUAAGAGGAAAUUCAUUUUACCUUCCCUGACCCCUUAGCCAAAAUAGCCCCCAAACACCUAGCAUCCCGCCUACUGCCUGGGGUAACGGUACGCACAGACACUCCGGAGCCCAGUGUCCUCGUCAUCUCCAACUCUUUCUGCUCUUCCUCACCUGGGAGCCCCCAGCUUCUGUCCUUGCUCUGUCCCCCAGCAUGUGGCCCCUUCUGACUCUGUACCCCAGCAAAGUCUUUAAAACUUAAGCUGGUGAGGCAGGAGAAUCGCUUGAACCUGGGAGGCGGAGGUUUCAGUGAACUGAGAUUGCGCCACUGCACUCCAGCCUGGACGACAG